AAUCAACGCUGGCGGCGUGCCUAACACAUGCAAGUCGAACGAGAAAGGGGAGCAAUCCCUGAGUAAAGUGGCGACCGGGUGAGUAACACGUGACUAACCUACCUUCGAGUGGGGGAUAACCUCGGGAAACCGGGGCUAAUACCGCAUAACAUCUUUGGAGUGGAAAUUCCGGAGAUCAAAGGAGCAAUUCGCUGGAAGAGGGGGUCGCGGCUGAUUAGCUAGUUGGCGGGGUAACGGCCCACCAAGGCUUAGAUCGGUAGCCGGCCUGAGAGGGCGCACGGCCACACUGGAACUGAAACACGGUCCAGACUCCUACGGGAGGCAGCAGUGGGGAAUUUUGCGCAAUGGGGAAACCCUGACGCAGCAACGCCGCGUGGAGGAUGAAGUCCCUUGGGACGUAAACUCCUUUCGACCCGGACGAUAAUGACGGUACGGGUGGAAGAAGCCCCGGCUAACUUCGUGCCA
rnacentral:rRNA from 1 species